rnacentral:lncRNA from 1 species
UUGUACUGUGAUAAAUUGUGAAGUCCUCACCAGUCUGAGGCAGGAAAAGAACUUACUUGGGAGAUAUUCCUUACCUAAAUUCACAAUCGCAUGUUUAGAAAUCAGUAACUUGGGGCGCAAGUUAUCUGUUUUUAAGAAGUCUGCUAGGAUUUUUAUUGCUAGUAGUGGCACGCUCGCACACUAAAGAAAGUUGACUUGUUGACCAAUCAAUGGUUCUCAACGCAAUGGGGAACUUUACCCUUCCAUCACAGGAGCAAACACAAAAUGGGUGAACAAUUUGGCACGCCCAGUGGGACUUCUCAGUAUACAUACUCCUAGAGAAAUUUUUCUAAAGUAUAUGAAUAUUUGAAGUUCUAGCCAGAACCCACGCUGCGCCAUGGAAAGAGAUCAAGUAGUUCUUCGAGAAGGACUGGAGUCAGAAGAAAGUUAUGCCAGGCAAUCAACCCAUGGCAGUACCAGGAGCAGAUGGUCCAGGUCUGGCUCCAGAAGAUUGAAUCGGAUACAAGACGCUGUGUUCCGACAGGAGGCUACAGCACAAAAGAGCUAAGAUACUCUGAAUAAUAUGAUAGCCAUGAUGCAAUGGCAAGUUAACAGGCAGUUCA